UAGUAUGCAAACGGCAUACUUGGUAAUACGUACAUGUGUGAAGGGCCUUUUAGUCAUUUCAUGGGGGCAUGCUUUGGCUAGGUUUAUGCUUGACAUGUGGAGGGGCACUUGGUUGUAUAUUGUGUGUAUAGAUGGUGACUCUUGUUUUGUGAUCCACACAUUUUCUACAACCAUAAAAAAAAAAAUUAAAAAAAAAGUAAGCUGCAGAAUUUUCGUCCCUUGUAUUCCCUCACCAUAGUCUUCUUCUUUACUUGUCAUUUUGAAGGCCUUGUGUUGUGAAUUUGGGUUAGCUUUGUGAAUGAAAAAGAUUCCUAAGAUCCUAGACUUCCUUUUUGAUGCUGAAGUUGUGAGCAUUUUCCACCUGUGGGGUUGUCAAAAUCUGAUUUGAAAAGGAGAAGAGGUGGUUGUAUGUCAAAGAUGGUGUUCUUCAUUUGUUUACAAAGUUGGUGGCUUUGAUUCACUCCUUGGGCUUUUAAAUUUUCUUGAAAGGAUUUUCAAGCUUCUAAGAGGUCAUAACAUGGAUGGUGUGGAGGGUGUUCCUCCUCAACUGUAGACAGAGUUGGGGCUGGUGUUGUUGUGUUAUAUUCCGCAUAAUAGUUUAUGUUUUGUCUUAUAUUUCUUUAGAAUAUUUCUGGCAUGUAAUAAGUGUUAUUUCAGACUUUAAAACUUUGAUGUUGUAAUAUUUGCAUCUUAUCUAUUAAUUUUCAGUCUUGUUUUUGUAAA